UGUUUUAAUAAUUUUUUAAUUCACAUGAAAUGUUCUGAGAAACUGUUUUCUACUUACCUUCGGUAUUUCAAAAUAUUUUCAAAAGGAAAUCGCUAUAUCUCCACUGCGAACAUAUUUUUUUCUAAAAUGAGACCUCCUAGUUCUGUUAGUGGUUUGAUGCAUUUGGAUAAAAAGUUGUUUGAAAUGGAAUCGCAGAUCAGUUAUUUAUCUAUCAAAUUAUCCCAGUUGCAAACCAUCUUACCCAUUAUGAAGAAAUAUUUAUUGAAGCUAGAGAAACUUAAACCUGUUCAGCAUAUGUCAAGUGAUGAAAUAGAAAUAUAUUUGAAUCCAAAUGUUGUAUCAGACUGGACGAGCUUCCCAACUGAAGUUCAAAAUCUUUUAGAAAAGAUGGCAAUAACUGAGAAUAAUUUAUUAAGAAAGAACUUGACAGUCAAGUAUGAAAAUUAUACCGCAGAGGAAUUAUUGAAAGCUAUUUUACCAAGUGAAAGAGAAGGUAUGUCAAGCUUUACAAAAAUUGGUCAUAUCGUACAUGUAAAUCUAAGAGAACAUCUAUUGCCCUAUAAAGAAAUUAUUGGAGAAAUUCUCUACGAUAAAAUACCAGGUUGUAAAUCUGUGGUGAAUAAAGUAAACAUGAUAGACAAUACCUAUCGUUACUUUAGCAUGGAAUUACUUAAAGGAGACAACGAUAUGAUGACCACAGUGAAAGAAAAUAACUGCACAUUCAAAUUUGAUUUCUCUAAAGUUUAUUGGAAUUCCAGAUUGUGCACAGAACAUGAAAGAAUAGUGAAACUCUUGAAAGAAAAUGAUGUGCUAUUUGAUGUUUUUGCUGGUGUUGGUCCUUUUUCUAUACCUGCCGCUAAAAAAAAGUGUUUUGUUUAUGCAAAUGACUUAAAUCCAGACUCUUUCAAUUGGCUGAAACAUAAUGCAAAGUCUAAUAAAGUUGGAGAAAAUUAUUUCAAAUCUUUCAACAUAGAUGGCAGAGACUUCAUAAAAAACAACAUCAGACAAAAUUUGUCACAACACCUAAUAAAAAAACAGAAAGUAUUCAUUACAAUGAAUCUACCUGCCAUGGCUGUAGAGUUUCUAGAUAGUUUUGUAGGACUAUUUAAUGAGGAUGAACUUCCAUUUAUAUCUGACCCCAUUACCAUUUUUGUUUAUUGUUUUGCCAAAGGCGAGAACCACAUUGAUAUAGCAAAAAAUCUUGUUAUGGAUAACUUUGGACAUGAUGUUUCUGAUAAAAUAUCUGAUAUAUUCAGAGUGAGGACCGUGAGCUCUAUGAAGGAAAUGAUGAGAGUUACUGUUAAACUUGAUCGUGACAUUUUAGUGGGGAUGUGUAAAAAAAGGAAGUUUGAAGACAGUUUCCAUUCACAGAAUAAAAAAUCAAGCAUUUCUGAUGGGAAAAAACCACAAAAAAGUUGAUAAGGUAUUCAAAGUGGCUGGAGCCAAGAGUUUGAAACUUAAAGCAAAAGCCAAAACUGUUAAAUCUGAACUGAAACAAAUUAAUAUUAAGAACAAAAGUAAAGUAGCUGAGAUUGACAAAGCUCUUCAGCUAAUGCAGAAUACUGUGAGGAACACAAAUAAAGCUAAAAAAGAUAAUCCGGAAAUCACUAAAACAAAGUUACCCUCCUCAAACCCCAAAGAUUUAGUGGACACCCAGAAGAAAUCUGAAGAUGUCAUGAAUGACUUGGAUAAAAUGCAGUUAUAGGUAUACCACCUUUAGAAAACGGGAGGUAUAAAGUAAAUCCGUAAAUUGGCCCUUUUGUUUAUAGUUUAUGGAAAAAAAAUGGUUAUCCCAAUAAAAUUAUUAUUGUUUGAAUAAA
rnacentral:misc_RNA from 1 species